UCUCUCUCUCCCUUUUUCCUGAUGAAACAAAGAAGAUGGGCAGUGGUCAGAUUGGCUGGCUAGUUCUUGUGUUCCGUAAAAGAUAUCUGGUAUCAGAAUGUAUGCAUUUGACCUAGAGCCCCUCAAGAUUAAAUGUGCGAACAUAUCUUGAUAUAGUAUUCAGGGGCAUUGGGGAGGUAGCUCAACUUGUUAAUCUUGUUGUUCUUCCAAAGGACCAGAGGUUAGUUCCCAACACAUAACUCACGACCUCCCAUAAGUCUAGUUCCAGACGAUAUGACCUUGUAUGGCCUUCCAUGACUCCCACACACACAGAUGCAUGUACACACACACACACACUUGUGUCACACAUGAAUAACAAAUACAAAUAAAAUUAAAUCUUUAGAGUAGUCUUUAGAGUCUUGAUUUCAGGCUCAGGACACUCAGCAUUCAGGACUCCCUGCUAGUGGAUACCAAUUAAAGCUCAAUUUUCUCUUUCACUAAGUUCUCUGGGUGCCACUGGGUGUUUAUUAAAUAGAUUGUGUCAGCUUCUGUUUGAGACUCUUAUACAUUAUCAGUGACUAAAAAAUAGCAAGAUCACACCCUUCAUGCAGUUUCUAUGCUGGUGGUAAGAAACAAAAGCAUGCUGGGAAAGAAAGCUCCAGUAUUCUACAAGAUUAUACAGACAAGGGAAAACAAGUGAAGGAGGAGGAGCCGAGGACAGGAGAGAGUGAGAUGCUGGUUGGGAGGUGGACAUAAGUAGGAACAAUAUACAUAAGAGUAGGGCUCAUUUAGAAGGUGAUAUCUAAGGAAAGAUUGAAGGAUUGAGGAUUUUUCCCCCAUGCAAAAAAAGCAAGGCUGUGGCCCCUAACUUCAGUGUAUAGCAGCAAUAUGUAUAAGACUUCUCAAACAAUAUGGUGGACUGUAGGUAGAGCUAUUGACUGCACAGACCUGCAGAAGCUAUGGAGAUCUGCUGUUUGAUCAAGUCCCUGCAUGGUACAUGUGAGAAUCUCAGACAAAGGAGCAGAAGGUUCUGGGACCCAGUUUUCAAAUGCUUCAGGACAAGAAGAUAGCAGGUUGGUUUGGGGGACAAUAGAGAGGUGAGGUUGACUAACAAAAGUGAAGAGUGGGGAUGAAGGGAGAACACUUGCAGACAGACCUGAGGGUAUCUGUGAGUUUUUCUCUAGUGAGCUGGAGAUUUAUGGUAGAAAUUUGAGCUGAGUAUAUGUGACUUCAGUAUGAAAAGCACUUUGGCUGCUGUGGAGAGAGGAUUGAUGGAUCAUAGGUUGCAAGCAUUGACACAGAAAAGACUACUGAUAUCACCAAGGUCAGAGUAAUGUUUCCAUCAGAGGUGGUUGAAGACAGAUUCUAUGCCAUUUACUAACAGACACUAUAUCAGUCACCUGAAGGAGAGUCAUCAAGACGAGUACAGAGUGGUUGGCCCCUAGCAACCAAAUACAUAAUUUCUAUAAGUUCAGAAAAACAAAUACUG
rnacentral:lncRNA from 1 species